UACAGAGGUCCCAAGCGUUGUUCGGAUUCACUGGGCGUAAAGGGUGCGUAGGUGGCGUCGUAAGUCAGGUGUGAAAUCUCGGGGCUCAACCCCGAAACUGCACUUGAUACUGCGAUGCUCGAGUACUGGAGAGGAGAUUGGAAUUUACGGUGUAGCAGUGAAAUGCGUAGAUAUCGUAAGGAAGACCAGUGGCGAAGGCGAAUCUCUGGCCUGUAACUGACGCUGAGGCGCGAAAGCGUGGGGAGCAAACAGG
rnacentral:rRNA from 1 species